UUAGAUCAGUUUUUGCUCGCGUAGUGCUGAGCGCGUGUAUAAGAUUGUUCAGUGUUAGGUAACGGAUCCUACGUGAUGUGACAUUUCUAUGAUCACAAACAAUUCCAAAAUGUAUUCGAAAAGUUUUUUCGCUUCGUACUUUUGGACUUUAUUAACAAUCACAGUAGUUACAGCUAGAAUCCAUAAACUUGAAAUACGGAAAGACACAAGGAAAUAUAUUUCACUCAGUACCUUUGGUUUUUACAAGGAUGGUAUUCUUAAUGUCAGUCUUACGAAUUUCAGAGCUGAUCCUUUAGAUAAAAAUGCAGUAUUUGGAUUCAGUUUGGACCGGACACUUAGCGACGCAGUAAAUCCUUAUUUAGAUAGUCAUCAAGAAAGAUGUGUGCUUCAAAAUAUAUCCAAUCCUAAAACAGAACUAAAGAAGAAGAAUGAUAGUACUGUCAUAUACUUUACGAUGGAUUUUAAAAAUUUAUCAUUGAAGAUAAAUUGCAGUCACAAUAUACAUACAGUUCAUAUAUAUAAAGAUUCUAGUUUGAUACCAGAUUUUAGGAUGAAAAGAAAUUCACUGCCAACAAAAUUUAGUGAUACAGCGCUUUUUCCAAGAAGGAAACGUAACAUAUCUAUACACGAAAAUGAAAAAUCCAUCAAAAAAGACGAGACUGAUUUCAAAUUAGAAUCGAAUAGUUGUGCUUAUUUAGCACAGGCACCACUACCGAUGACCAUGGAAACUAUAAAGGGCAAAAUGUAUUAUAACACAAGCUUUGCUAUGUAUGUAGCCAAUAAAGAAGAGGAAGGUCUUUACAAUCUUUAUUUUCACAAUUGUCCUAAUUAUAAGGGUGAUACUCAAGUUGCUGUAGAUUUUACGAUACAAAUAGCUGAAAUCAAUCAUGGAAAUUUUCUUAGUGCUGGAGAAAUGCCUUUACCAGCUUUAUAUUUUAUGAUGGCUUUUUUGUUUCUCUUUUCUGGCAGCUUCUGGGUCUUCAUACUUAAGAAGAGCAAGCAUCCCGUUUUUAAAAUUCAUUAUUUAAUGGCAGUAUUGGUAUUUCUGAAGUCUUUAUCUUUACUAUUCCAUGGCGUCAAUUAUCAUUUUAUUCAAACAAAGGGUGAACACGUAGCAGCGUGGGCGAUAUUGUAUUAUAUUACACACCUGUUAAAAGGUGCUGUACUGUUCAUUACUAUUGUCCUUGUUGGCACAGGAUGGACAUUCAUUAAACAUAUUUUGGCAGACAAGGAUAAAAAGCUUUUUAUGAUCGUCAUUCCAUUACAGGUAUUAGCUAAUGUUGCGGAAAUAAUAAUAGAGGAAGGCGAAGAAGGCGAUAUAGAGAAUCAAACAUGGCGCGAUGUUUUUAUUCUCGUGGAUUUGCUUUGUUGUGGUGCUAUUUCAUUCCCGAUAGUUUGGAGUAUCAGACAUUUACAAGAAGCUGCUCAUACGGAUGGCAAAGCUGCUGUUAAUUUACGAAAACUCAAACUUUUUCGACAUUUCUAUAUCAUGAUACUUGGUUAUAUAUACUUUACCAGAUUUAUAGCGUACUUACUUAAGAGUACGGUACCGUUUCAAUAUGAAUGGUUGGAUGAAAUGUCUCGUGAGAUGGCAACUUACGUUUUCUUCGUUUUAACGGGUUAUAAGUUUCGACCAGCCUCCGCGAAUCCUUAUUUCACAUUAACAACUGAUGAAGUAGAUCAAGGUGACGAUGACGACGAAAUGGACAUCGUCCUCUUUUCUAGCGUUAGCGGUGGUAGCGGACUUACCGAGAAUCUCAGUAAAGUUAGCAAAGUCUCCAAAGUGGUAAGGCCAACGACCUCGGAAGUUCCAUCUACUCAAGAGGAAAGGGAUAGUCUUUUUAACAAAAAAGAUACUACUCAUGAAUAUGAUUGAACACAUGAACUAUACCUAAUAGAUUGAUUUUGGGUAUUGCUCCAAGUGUAUAAUGUAUGUGUAUUUUAUAAAAUCUCAAUAUGCUUUUUGCGAGUAAGAUGAACGCACUUUGCGAGAAAGAGAGAGAGGGAGAGAAAGAAAGAGAGAGAAAGAAAGAAAGAGAGAAAGAAAGUUUAAAAUGUAAAGCACGAGAUAGUUUUAAAAUAGUUAACUCGAAACUUUCUGUAUAUUUCCUAUAUUAUAGGACGAUUCACGCAAACUGUAACAAUCUAUAUCUUUGUUCUUUUUUGGUUAAAGUUAGAAAAAGAUGAGUGGUUCAAGAUAGAUUACAUAUUCAUAAACAUAUUUUUUUGCAAUUGCGUGUGCAUGUGCAUUUUGUAAUUGUACUAUUUUCUUUUAAAUGAGAACUUCCCAUUUUUUUUUUGUUACAUACACUGUAUCAUUUUGUCAUUCUAUGUAAGAAGGUAUUAGGGUAACAUAGUCGAGAAAUAAUUAAUUUGUGAGGUAUCUUGAAAAAAUGUCUUCAUUAAAGGAAAGCACGAACAAUUUUCAUUACAUUCUAAAUAUUUCGUACAACGUUUUUUAAUUUAAUUACAUAACCGAAUUGAGUUGAUCUUUGAUUAUUGUUAUUACUAAAAUUUAUAUAUUUUCUUAGUUUUUAUUUUUAUUUAUUUUUAAAUAUUUUAUUUUUUAUUCGUUUUUUUAUUUGAAAAAUGUGAUAUUUCAUGUAUUUUAAGUUGUACAUCUGUGAUAGAUUUCGUACUCUUUUAUAAUAAAUUAUCAUUGGAUCAAUGAAUCUUUUUCGAAUACAUAUCUGCUACUGUUAUGAAAACAAAAAAUGAAAAGAUGUAAGAAGCAUUUUCUUUCUUUUUUUUUUAAAUACUCGUGAACUAAUCAUUUUUCGAUCAUUUUAUUCUAAUAUUUUCUUAGAUAAAAUAACGAGAGGAUACAAAAAGAUGGGAAGAUUUACAUUCACAAUAAAAAUACUGCGUAUACAUGUGUGAAAAAAUACGAUCGUGAAUAUAGCAGUUCAACCUAAAUUAAUCAUCUUUUUCCUCCAACAUUUUUUUUUAAAUUUUAACCAAAAAAAAAAAGAAAGAUAUGGGUUGUUACAUAGUUGCAUGAAUCAUCCUGUAUAAAUAUACGACUGUUUCAUAUUCCUUAGAGAAUAAAAUAAUAAGAGCGAUGUAUCGUGCGCCGCAGUGGUAGUAAAAAACAAUCGUACAACUUUGUAUUAUUAUUAUUAUUAUUAUUAUUAUUAUUAUUAUUAUUAUCAUCAUUAUUAUUAUUAUUACUAUUAUUAUUACUAUUACUAUUAUUAAUAUUAUUAUUACCAUUAUCAUCAUCAUCUUGUACUUAACGACAAAAAAUUCGAUCAUUGUAAAGUACGACUGCGGCAUGCAUUUUCGUGCAGAGAUCGUAAUUUAAUAAGUAUGUAUGAUGUACUUUAUAUUUUAUACGCCGAAAUAUUCUCGUUUUGAUCACGUAAUACAUCCUCCCCAUCCCUUUAUUCCCUCGCGUUUUAUGAAAUUCUACAUGUUAUACAUUGGCAGUUUUUUAGUGUUUAAAAGUAUUACGAUCAAAUCAGUAUAAGGAUGUUACACAGAUAAUUCGUGAUACGACACCACGUCCAUUAAAGUGCUGAUCAUAUUUUUUUUCACUUUUUUUUUUUUCCCUAAGAAUUUUGUAAAUAAGAAAGGAGAAAUUAGUUCGUCCUAAUCUUCAAGUUCUAUUGUAAAAUCAACGUUCAAAUUCUUUCCAUCAAGUUUGUCACUUUGCCAUUUCCAAAGUUUUACAUUUUGAUGGAACAAUUUUGUGGAAUUUUUCUAAGCAUUUACGACUAUCUCUAUCCUUAUCUUUUUAAGACACGCUUAAAAAUUUUUUUAAAGAUUCUCGUUCAGGACUCUUAGGUAUGUUGUGAUAGACGAUCUACACCCGUUUACGUGAUUUAUCUGUCAUAAUCCAAUUACUUCUCCUUUUUUCUUCUUUUUUUUAUUUGCACAUUACAUCCAAUUACUUCUCCUUUUUUCUUCUUUUUUUUAUUUGCACAUUACAAUCCUUCUAGUAGAAAAAAUAUAAUUGUUAUGGAUACCGAGAAAUAAUUGGAAACUCGAAACAUCUUUGAUGUUUCCUGUUGACGAAUUUACUAUAAUACGUUAUUGCGAAUAAUAUUAUUAGUAAACUAUAUUAUUAUUUAUGCAAUAUGUGUAUUGAUAUUAGUUUCGACAUUUGUUAAAAAUAAUACACUAUGUUAAAGUGUAAUAAGCAUGAAACGACGGAAAACAUAUUGAAAAAAAUAAAGCGGAUAUUUUUAUGAAACUGUAACAAUCAUAUCCUAUAUCUAAUAAGUAUCCUAUAAUUCGGAUUAGAAUGGAUUAGAAUGAUUUGAAAGGUAAUGAAUGCGUUCGAGUUUAUCCAAAUUAACGGCGAUAUGUCAUACAUAGACAGGUAGAUAGAGAGAGAGAGAGAGAGAGAAAGAGAGAGAGAAAGAGAGAAAGAAAGAGAGAGAAAGAGAGAGAGACAGAGAAAGAAAGAAAGAGAGAGAGAGAGAGAGAGAGAGAGAGAGAGAGAGAGAGAGAGAGAGAGAGAUAGUUGUGCAUUUAAGUGUCAUCAAAUUAUGUGACCGAUGUUUCUCAUUGGUCAGACAAAUAUACAAAACCAGAUUCUCGUCGUCUUAAACAGUAAUAGAAUAUAUAGAUACAUACUCAUGCUAUACAUACAAUCACACAAUCUUUACUGAUAUUAUCCUACAAGGUGACACGUGACAAAUUGUUACGUUUCUCUGUUGUAAAGCUUGGUUUCCUGGUGACGGAGAAAGGAUUAAAAGCUCAACGAUAACGUAACUUUAGAGAAGAGAUAUGCGACGACAUGCUGUUGUCGGUAGCUCGCUCGCAUUUUAUGCUUACAAUAAAGCCUGCAUUUUUAUGCUAGA